rnacentral:lncRNA from 1 species
CCAAAUUUCAGUUUGGGCCAAGCAAAAGAAAUACCAUCUCCACCAAACUAAUUGCAUUGACUUCAAACGCAAACAUAAAAAUGAGACAUUUUUCAGAUUUAGGCAUCAGGAUUUGCCAAGAGGUAGCCUUCCACAGCCUUGAACAGACCCAUGGACUUUUCUUUCCCAGCCUUGAUAUCCUCUUGUUUGAGCUCAAAAUCACCAAUUGUGUAGUACUUGCUGAGAGACUUGACGAGGCAUCCUCCAUCAGGAGUUGCCUCAAACUUAAUCUCAUUAGAUAUUUUUUCAAGUUUUCCAAUCAACACAUCUCCUUCAAUCAUCGUGUAUGCAUAUGUUAAAUUCUCCUUGUCUACGGAAUCUGUCCUCUCCUUUGCAUACUUGAAUUGGCUAGCUGGAGAAAACAAAAUCAUGCAUGCAGAGUUGGUUCAGUAGAUAAAGAAGAGUGCUUCAUUUCCUUGUUAACUCGGAUUCAACUUUUAUUAUCACACUACAAGUGAACUUCUGAAUAUAUAGUAAUUGUGACUUACCAUCGCCAAAGUUAAUCUGCUUGAUAGUUCCGGCACCUCCAUCACCUUCAAGAAUGUCAAUACUCUUGAUAGCCUGAGGCAAGAUCUUUGCGAUGAGGGUGUUGCCCUCAAGGACAAAUGCCUUGAACAUUUUGGCUGCUGGGAUUGUUGUAGCAACCUCCAUCUCAUAAGUCACAACAGCCAUGAUGAUAGAUUUUAUGGAACCUGAAGUUUCAGAAACUAUAUAUCAAAGAAAGAAUACAGGAAAUGGAAAGGAAGAGAAUGUUUUAGACCGCUGAUCUUUUUUCUGUCUUGAGGAUGAAGAAAUAUGAGAACAAGAGGCAUAUUUAUAGGUAAAGAUUGUGCUGAAAAUAGUUGAAUUAGUACAAAUUUUUCAAGUUUACAAACUUAGAUGACCAAGCAAAUGCUUUUUUAUUUUUAAAGAACUAGAAAGAGAAAUAUUAAGAUUCCAAAUGGUGUCUUAUGUACAGAGUCAUUCCUGGACCAGAUCAUGGAUAUAUAAUAAAUAUUAGAAGAAAGAGACAAAUAUAUGGAUAUUUAGAUCAAGAAACUAUUAUCAUGAUUAAUCAAGUGCUGGGUAAACUAGGACUCAUAUACAUAUAUACACACACACACAAUUUGAGGGUUAAAAGAACUAGGAACUUUUGACUUGAAGUGUUGCAUAUAUAGCUAUAAUUGCUUGGACAUGAGUACUUAACUAAGGAUUGACUAAAUUGUAUGUAUAUUUAAAGAGAAACUUGGCAGUUUAAGACAAAAUAAAUUAGGGUUAGGGAUGCCUAGCUAGCUACUGUAUCGAUCUGACCCAGUAUGCUAAUAUUGAUGAAAACAUUUCAAAGAAGUCUUUGAUGUUUUAUAGAGCUUGACCUGCUCAACAAUGGACGGUGGUGUAAGCUCAUAUUGUGCCAUUGUUUUUUUUUCUUUUUCUUCUUUGUUAGCAAUUUUUUCAUAUUAUUUUAAGCCAACCAGCUUAAUAGAUCCUAUAUCUAAUGGUUCUAUUUCACCUGUAUUAAUUCAUCAUUGAAUUCUAGAGUAACUUUAUAUAUUUACUGAAAAAAAUUUAUAAGAAUCUAAAUUAAUUUAUAUAAAAAACUUUCUUUUAUGAGAAAUUUUUAUAAAAAUAUUUUAAUACGUAAUUUUAUAUAAAUUUGAUCCAAAUUUUAUUAUUUUUAUUCAAUAAAUACAUAAAAGUAUUGAAAAGUGAAUUUAACCGAGACAUUCUAGAAUUCACCUCAGUCAUUUUAAGAAAAUUUUGAUAAUAUGACCUAUGCAUACGCUAGAUCGAGUUGAACAUUUUUCUUUUUACAUUCCGAUUGUUUAUGUAAAACAGUUUUUCAUAAAUAUUAAGUGCAAAAAUUAAACCUGAGAUAACAAAUUGGGAAGCACAAUUUGAAUAUUAGGUUGUGCAUCUUGCAAUUUUGUCUUGUUUAGUUUGGGAUCCUUGUAUGAGGAUUUGUUUCACAAUAAAUAAAUUAUUUAUCCUGAAUCAAAUCUUAAAAUUGAAUUUCUAUAAUAAAGAGAUUAGUGUCGUGGAGAGGAAAGAAGAUUUUAUUUCAAGCUUUCAAUGCAUUAUACUCACAUACUGAGGCUCUGAUUAGAAAUCCGAUUAGUGAAUCCACUUUUAAGAAGAAAAAAAAUAUUAAGUUUAAUAAUUGUUUCCUAAAUAAAAACAACUAAAUUAAUUUUUUUUCUAAAAGCAUAUUUGAUAAAAAUAAUUUAUAAAAAAUUAUAAAUAUUUUCUUAGCGCUCAAUAAUUUAAAUAAUCCACACAUUAAUCGGUCAAUAUAUAAUUAGCUUACAAAAUAAUUCAUGUUUUUAUAUUGGUUACCUUCUAAUGUCAUAUAAGGUGAUGGUCGUUCGACAAUAUAUAAUUAUAUGAAAAAUGUAAUUAUUUAAUGAACACCUUUGUAUUAAUGCACAAUUCUAAUAAAUGAACACCCUUCAUUGACUUCUUGUUGUUGUUAGUACUUAAUAACAUCCAUAUUCUUCUUCUUCUGUUGGCAAGUAGAGAUAUAAUACUCUCUAUCAAUAAUCAAUUAGAAAGAAGAGAAUAAAAACAGAAUUGCAUACAUAUGAAAUUGAACAAGCAUACUUUUCUAAUCAAUUAUUUCAGUAUUUUAUUACAAUAAUAUUACUCUUCAAUUAAAUGGAAAUAACAUGCACCCGAAUUUCACACCAAUACAAUUAAAAUAAUACUGCCAAGUUUCAGUUCUGGCCAUACAAAAGAAACAACGUCUCCACCAACUUUCAUCGAUACUUCAAACACAAACAUAAAAAAUGAAACAUUUUCAGAUUCAGGCAUCAGGAUUUGCCAAGAGGUAGCCUUCCACAGCCUUGAACAGACCCAUGGAUUUUUCUUUCCCAGCCUUGAUAUCCUCUUGUUUGAGCUCAAAAUCACCAAUUGUGUAGUACUUGCUGAGAG